rnacentral:lncRNA from 1 species
CCUCACAGUGCUGGCAUCAGUUAAAAUGCAUGGUAAGAGUGUCUGCUGCUAAAAUGCUUCUCUCUACUAGACAAGGGAUGGAACUGAACCUCAGGGCACAGCCUGGGGACACUUUUCUCAGGUGCUGAAAUAGACAUCCAAGAUUUCAGCUGGACUCUUCUGAAACUUCCACAGGACAAAGACAUUUGCCAGAGCACCCUCAGUUUUGAACAAUGCACCUGAAGCACAGUGUGCGUCAACUCUUAGCCUGGCUCUGAGGGGUUGUCCAGGGUUCUCUGAAGGAAGGAGUCCACGAGAAAACAGCUUCUUGGAUUUCAUUCAUGGAGAAAGACUGCCAGUUCAGGAGACUGGAACUGCCAAGAAAAGGCCAGCAGGAGAAUUCAUAACUGUUGACGAAAUCAGGAAAUGAUUUUUUUCCUUCCCUCUGUGGAAUGAUAUUCAUUUAUGAUAUUUAUUUCUCUGCUAGAAAAAUAAAAAAUAAUAAAAAAAAUGUUUAAUCCAAUAAGAAAAAAGUCGAGUUGGAGAGUUAUAUACUACUUUUCAAUGCUUUUAAUCCCUCUCUUCAAUGAGGAACAC